UACAUAUAUUUACUUAAUAAAUCAAGAAUCAAAGUAAAUAAAUUAAAACUUUGCUGAUAAUUGAGCGGCGUUGAAAUGUGCGUUUCUUGAUUGCCAUCUAUCCUUGUGAUGUCACGAGUAUGCCUUUCUGCAUGAUCGUAUACGUAUUCGACCAUGCUCUGAUGUGUACGCGCGCCAGUGCGGUGUUGUAUAGCGAAUUAACAAAGCGAGUUGUGUAGCGCCGUUGCACACUUGUGACGUUACGAUGUUCUUCGGGUAUAUUCGAUAAUGACAUAAUUAUGAAGUAACACGCAAUAUAGACACGCUAAAAUUGCUCAUGUUGAGGUUGUCUGAUAGAGGAACGAGUGGAUGAAUUUAUAAUAGAAAAUAUAUUGAAAUAAGUAUAGGUAUAAGUACAGGUAUAGUGUAUGCUGAUCCAGAUCCUCACUCUUACAGUGUUACAAUACAAUAGAAGAAGCUAUGAUAGCAUAUAUUUAUAGCAAAAAGGACAUUACCAAAUGUUAACCUUGUAGCUCUAGCUGAAGGCUACAAGAAACAGCAACAGAAAUCUACUUAUAGCUCUUCUGUUUCUAGACCUUAUAAACCAAAACAAAAUUUAUAUUCAAGGGCACAAUAAUAUGGACCUCUCCUUAUUUCUAUAUUGUAUUCUCUUCAUAACAACGAUCUCCAGGUCACGGAUAUACAAAAGAAGAGGUGUAGAGUUUUUCUUGAAGUAAUUACUUCAACAGCUCAGUCAAAAUUAGCGAUAUCUCUUAAGAAUACAAUAAUAUAGAAUAAAAUAAAAUGUAUAUAAAAAAUUAUUUUUAUUCAUUUUUUGAAAAUUAUAGGCUUGAUUAAAUA